rnacentral:lncRNA from 1 species
AUAUUUGGACACUACUAACCAAAAUACAACUUUACUACAUCAUUUUGUAAGCAAAUAUAACAAAAACAUUCCAUGACCAUUUAAUAAACUUUUUCCAUUUCUUCAAUUUCAACUCCAAAUUUGAAACUUUCUCCUCCAAUGCAACUACAUUAUUCAGAUUUCCAGCUUUACUACCCACCAUGUCAUCGACCAUCUUCCUAAACUUAUUCCUUUCUUGGAAAAUAGCAUCCACUGUAAUUUUUGCUUGUGGAUAAAUAUUGAUACAUGAGGUGGAAGUUCUUUAUCGCGCCAUUCCCAAAAACGACAACCAUUACUCUCGUAACGAGGACAUUUAUAGAAUCUACGACCACCAUUCAUAGGUUUCGUAGCAGUAAAAUGAUUGGCUACCAGUCCGCAAUAACGAACACGAGCAUCACCUACAUCACGAGAAGAAUUAGAAGAAGAUUCUGCCAGUUGAAGCUUAAAAAUAAAUGAAUUCCAAAAGAUAGAAGAAUUAGAAGAAUUAGAGGAGAG